UUGAUCCUGGCUCAGGACGAACGCUGGCGGCACGCUUAACACAUGCAAGUCGAACGAGAGAAGAGAAGCUUGCUUUUCUGAUCUAGUGGCGGACGGGUGAGUAACACGUGAGCAAUCUGCCUUUCAGAGGGGGAUACCGAUUGGAAACGAUCGUUAAUACCGCAUAACAUAAUUGAACCGCAUGAUUUGAUUAUCAAAGAUUUAUCGCUGAAAGAUGAGCUCGCGUCUGAUUAGCUAGUUGGUAAGGUAACGGCUUACCAAGGCGACGAUCAGUAGCCGGACUGAGAGGUUGAUCGGCCACAUUGGGACUGAGACACGGCCCAGACUCCUACGGGAGGCAGCAGUGGGGAAUAUUGCACAAUGGAGGAAACUCUGAUGCAGCGAUGCCGCGUGAGGGAAGAAGGUUUUAGGAUUGUAAACCUCUGUCUUCAGGGACGAAAAAAGACGGUACCUGAGGAGGAAGCUCCGGCUAACUACGUGCCAGCAGCCGCGGUAAUACGUAGGGAGCGAGCGUUGUCCGGAAUUACUGGGUGUAAAGGGAGCGUAGGCGGGAUCGCAAGUCAGAUGUGAAAACUAUGGGCUUAACCCAUAAACUGCAUUUGAAACUGUGGUUCUUGAGUGAAGUAGAGGUAAGCGGAAUUCCUAGUGUAGCGGUGAAAUGCGUAGAUAUUAGGAGGAACAUCAGUGGCGAAGGCGGCUUACUGGGCUUUAACUGACGCUGAGGCUCGAAAGCGUGGGGAGCAAACAGGAUUAGAUACCCUGGUAGUCCACGCCGUAAACGAUGAUUACUAGGUGUGGGGGGACUGACCCCUUCCGUGCCGCAGCAAACGCAAUAAGUAAUCCACCUGGGGAGUACGACCGCAAGGUUGAAACUCAAAGGAAUUGACGGGGGCCCGCACAAGCAGUGGAGUAUGUGGAUUAAUUCGAAGCAACGCGAAGAACCUUACCAGGUCUUGACAUCGUAUGCAUAGCUCAGAGAUGAGUGAAAUCUCUUCGGAGACAUAUAGACAGGUGGUGCAUGGUUGUCGUCAGCUCGUGUCGUGAGAUGUUGGGUUAAGUCCCGCAACGAGCGCAACCCUUACUGUUAGUUGCUACGCAAGAGCACUCUAGCAGGACUGCCGUUGACAAAACGGAGGAAGGUGGGGAUGACGUCAAAUCAUCAUGCCCCUUAUGACCUGGGCCUCACACGUACUACAAUGGCUGUUAACAGAGGGAUGCAAAGCCGCGAGGUGGAGCGAACCCCUAAAAGCAGUCUUAGUUCGGAUUGUAGGCUGCAACCCGCCUACAUGAAGUCGGAAUUGCUAGUAAUCGCAGAUCAGCAUGCUGCGGUGAAUACGUUCCAGGGCCU
rnacentral:rRNA from 1 species